GCGCCUAACACAUGCAAGUCGAGCGGAUGAAGGGGCUUGCUCCUGGAUUCAGCGGCGGACGGGUGAGUAAUGCCUAGAAUCUGCCUGGUAGUGGGGGAUAACGUCCGGAAACGGGCGCUAAUACCGCAUACGUCCUGAGGGAGAAAGUGGGGGAUCUUCGGACCUCACGCUAUCAGAUGAGCCUAGGUCGGAUUAGCUAGUUGGUGGGGUAAAGGCCUACCAAGGCGACGAUCCGUAACUGGUCUGAGAGGAUGAUCAGUCACACUGGAACUGAGACACGGUCCAGACUCCUACGGGAGGCAGCAGUGGGGAAUAUUGGACAAUGGGCGAAAGCCUGAUCCAGCCAUGCCGCGUGUGUGAAGAAGGUCUUCGGAUUGUAAAGCACUUUAAGUUGGGAGGAAGGGCAGUAAGUUAAUACCUUGCUGUUUUGACGUUACCAACAGAAUAAGCACCGGCUAACUUCGUGCCAGCAGCCGCGGUAAUACGAAGGGUGCAAGCGUUAAUCGGAAUUACUGGGCGUAAAGCGCGCGUAGGUGGUUCAGCAAGUUGGAUGUGAAAUCCCCGGGCUCAACCUGGGAACUGCAUCCAAAACUACUGAGCUAGAGUACGGUAGAGGGUGGUGGAAUUUCCUGUGUAGCGGUGAAAUGCGUAGAUAUAGGAAGGACACCAGUGGCGAAGCGACCACCUGGACUGUACUGACACUGAGGUGCGAAGCGUGGGGAGCAAACAG
rnacentral:rRNA from 1 species